rnacentral:rRNA from 1 species
UACGGAGGGUGCAAGCGUUAUCCGGAUUCACUGGGUUUAAAGGGUGCGCAGGCGGGCAGGUAAGUCCGUGGUGAAAUCUCUGAGCUUAACUCAGAAACUGCCAUGGAUACUAUUUGUCUUGAAUAUUGUGGAGGUAAGCGGAAUAUGUCAUGUAGCGGUGAAAUGCUUAGAUAUGACAUAGAACACCAAUUGCGAAGGCAGCUUACUACACAGUUAUUGACGCUGAGGCACGAAAGCGUGGGGAUCAAACAGG